CAGAUGGCUUCACUGGUAAAUUCUACCAAACAUUUACAGAAUUCACACCAGUCCUCCUGAAACUCUUCUAAAGAAUGAAGAAGAAGGAACAUUUCAGUGUUGAGCAUCACCCUGAUACUAAGGCCAAAGACACUCCAAGAAAGAAAACUACAGACUAAUAUUCUUGAUGAAGAUCGAUGCCAAAAUCCUAAACAACACACUAGCAAACAGAAUUCAACAACACAUUAAAAGGAUUAUAUGCAAUGGCCAAGUGGGAUUUAUUCCUGGAAUGCAAGGAUGUUUCAAUAUAAGAAAAUCAAUCAAUGUAAUACACUACAUUAACAGAAUGAAGGAAAAAACACACAAUCACUUCAAUUGAUACAGAAAAAGCAUUUGACAAGAUUCAACACAACUUCAUGAUUUAAAAACAGUCAACAAAGGAACAGAAGGAAAUUACCUCAACAUCAUAAAGGCAGUAUAUGAAAAGCCCACAGCUAACAUGAUACUCAGUGAUGCCAGAAUGAAAGCUUUUCUUCUGAGAUCAGGAACAAGAAAAGGAUGCUGCUUUCAUCAGUUCUGUUGAACAUAGUUCUGGGAGUCCUAGCUGGAGCAAUCAGGCAAGAAAAAGAAAUUUAAAAGGCAUCCAAGUCAGAGUUGAAUCCCCGGAAUAGUGAAAACAAUGACCAUUGCGUGCUGAGUACCUGCUCUGUCCUGGCAUCUUACAACUCUGUUCCAAAGUCUGUGCUGCUUCCAUAGGACUGUUCUCACUUCUUUCCAUUUUGCAAGUUCUCAGCCUGGCGGCAGUCUCCCUGCCCGAGUGGAUGGUGCCACCACCUCUUACUGAAGGAGCGGUUUCUGAGGGAGAGUGCCUGUGCUGUGCAGCUGUCUCCCGCGAGGCGCCCUUUGACAAGUGUGUCUUCUGUCUCCCCUC
ensembl:lncRNA novel transcript